rnacentral:rRNA from 1 species
GACUUGUUCAGAUCUACUUUUAAAAAAAAUAAGCAGGGUCGGACCUGGUUAGUACUUGGAUGGGAGACCACCUAAGAAGACCAGGUGCUGUAGGCG